CCUACGGGAGGCAGCAGUGGGGAAUAUUGCACAAUGGGCGCAAGCCUGAUGCAGCCAUGCCGCGUGUAUGAAGAAGGCCUUCGGGUUGUAAAGUACUUUCGGCGGGGAGGAAGGCGAUGUGGUUAAUAGCCGCAUCGAUUGACGUUACCCGCAGAAGAAGCACCGGCUAACUCCGUGCCAGCAGCCGCGGUAAU
rnacentral:rRNA from 1 species